AGAAAUCAUUCACGCAUCGGUCCACCGAGCCACACCACACCACCGUCUCGCGGAGAAACUCCUCCAAAACCCCCAAACCCUUUCAAUCGGCGGCAAUGGCGGCGCCGGUGGCCGACGAUGCCUCGGCAUCCCCAGGCUACGUCCUCCGCUCCACACUUGAGGGGCACCGCCGCGCCGUAUCAACAGUUAAGUUCUCCCCGGAUGGCCGCCUUCUCGCCUCCGCCUCCGCCGACAAGCUUCUUCGCGUGUGGUCUUCCUCCGAUCUCACCCCCGUUGCGGAGCUCGAGGGCCAUGGAGAGGGUGUCUCAGACCUCUCUUUCUCCCCCGACGGCCGCCUCCUUGCCUCCGCCUCCGAUGAUCGCACCGUCCGCAUCUGGGACCUCGCCGUCGGCGGAGGGGCCCGCCUCGUCAAGACGCUCACGGGCCACACCAACUACGCCUUCUGCGUCUCCUUCAGCCCCCAUGGCAACGUCCUCGCCUCCGGGUCCUUUGACGAGACGGUGCGCGUGUGGGAGGUCAGGUCCGGUAAGUGCCUCCGCGUGCUGCCGGCCCAUUCUGAACCCGUCACCGCCGUGGACUUCGAUCGCGAGGGCGACAUGAUUGUGUCAGGGAGCUACGACGGGCUCUGCCGCGUCUGGGACUCGGCCACCGGUCACUGCGUCAAAACCCUCAUCGACGACGAGAGCCCACCAGUGUCCUUUGCCAAGUUCUCCCCCAAUGGCAAGUUUAUCCUCGCGGCAACGCUUGACAGCACCUUGAGGCUUUGGAAUUUCUCAGCUGGAAAGUUUCUGAAGACAUAUACCGGACAUGUUAACACAAAGUACUGCAUCCCAGCGGCGUUUUCUAUCACGAAUAGCAAGUAUAUUGUCAGUGGCUCCGAGGACAAAUGUGUCUACCUAUGGGACCUCCAGUCAAGAAGAAUAGUGCAGAAACUGGAAGGCCAUACUGAUACUGUCAUUGCGGUCUCAUGUCAUCCCAAGGAAAACAUGAUCGCAUCCGGGGCGCUUGACAAUGACAAGACCGUGAAAGUUUGGGUCCAAAAGGAAGAAGAUUGAUGAGCGGCCUGGUUACGCUCUUAUCUACAUUGGCUGUCAUGUGGACUGACUAAUGGUAAGCAAAAUAUGCAGCUUCCCAAGCAACUAAAGUUUGCUGCAGUGGAGAAUGUGAUGCUCCUGGCAUGUGUAACUGAGUGAGUGCUAUAUUGUCUAUUCAGCAGCUCGGCGAUGAUAUUAGUGAACUCAAGUGUUCUGUAGAGCUAUUCCUGGGAGGCUGGGAUCAUUUGUGCAUCGCGUUGGAUUGUCCCACAUAAACCCUGCCUAACCUGCGCAGCCCGGCCCGGCCAAGAUUAGGCAGCAGAUUGGGUCGCCCCGAUCUGGCCGCUUGGGAGUCACUAGAAUGAACUGCAUCGGCCAUGCAAGCAACAAGCUAGAGUCAUCAAAGCCAAAUAUUGGUCACAGUCUAAACGCUUUCGUUGCAUCCAGUCAAUGGCCUAACUAUGCUGCCGCGGGUCCGGAUGGAGUAAACGGUAUACCCGGGAUUAUGGCUUAUGGAUCUACUUGUGAAAGAAAAUGAGAAAUAUCUUUGCAUGUUGAGUAGGCUGUGUUGGGCUUAUCUGCUUACAGAUGAAUGGGCUACUUUUCUUUCUUUUAAUUGUAUGGUAACGGCCCAUUUUCUUGUAACACUUGACGUCUUGACAUAUAUAAACUGCAACGCGUGAGUCCGGGUAAUCUGACUACCCGUUUUACUCA